rnacentral:lncRNA from 1 species
CAGGAUGCUGAGUGAGUGUGUGCUUGGGGCAGGAUUGGGAUGGGGGUAGAGCAGGAAGAGAGUUCAGCAUCCUCACAGCCUGAUGGAUGGGGCUGUCUCGCAGUCUGCUGGUCCUUGCCCCGAGACUCUGCAGUCAGCAAAAAAGUUUGCUAAAGUUAAAAAAAAAUCUACAAUCCAAAGAAUAAAUUCACUAGGAUGCUUUUUUUGUGUUCAUAUUGUUCUUUAAGUUGCCAAGACUCUAUAAAUUAUAAUAAUAAAAAAAACUUUAAUUAAGUUUCAUAAGCAAGUUCUCUCCUGACCUGCUCUGGUUAGAUGGAAUUCAACCACCAAUGAGAGUCCUGGCUGCGGUGAUUGAGGGAGGAGCUAAGUUUUUAAAUGAAGGAAACAAGAUGGCGGCUUAAGGAGAGGUGACUGCUUUCAUGUUGUGCUGUUGGGUUUUAAUUGUGUUUGGUUGUGAGUCUCUUUUGUUAGAGCUGCUGUGUUUGGGUGUUUUAUCUGCAAACCACCUACCUUUGUUUUAAUAUAGAUUUAAUAAAGCUGAGAAAGUGGUGCAGCGCUGAAGGACGUUAUUUGCCUGCGUAUUAGACUAUUACAGGCUGACUCAUCGGAGGGUACGGGAUGAAAAAGGGCAACAACUGUUGGCGUCCCGCUGUGGGGCCUCUUCUGGAGCAGAGUGUGUGAAGAGGUUUAAAGAAAGAGAGUCAAAGCUCCUGUCAUACAGGAAAGCAGGGGCAGAGCCAACUGCCCAGCAGACAAGCGGACCAAACUGGAGGUGGUGAAGAGAACUGAGCGAGAACCAACAUCACCACAUCUGAAAGAGAGCAAAGCAGGGUCUGAUGUGUUCCCUCUGAAGUACAAGGUCUUUUCUAUAACAGCAGGAAGUACAGAUUUGUACCAUUUAUCAAGCCGAAAGGUACAUUCAGUAUUCUUUACCAGUGUACUAAUAAACUAUAUUAAUUAUAUAUAUAUUUUUUCAUUUGAAAGUCAGACAAUUUUGGAUCAUCAAGUUCUUGAAACAUUUCCAGUUGAUAAUGUUUAUAAUCUUUACUAG